rnacentral:rRNA from 1 species
GACGAACGCUGGCGGCGUGCUUAACACAUGCAAGUCGAACGGAAAGGCCCUGCUUUUGUGGGGUUCUCGAGUGGCGAACGGGUGAGUAACACGUGAGUAUCCUGCCCUUGACUUUGGGAUAACUUCAGGAAACUGGGGCUAAUACCGGAUAGGAGCUCCUGCUGCAUGGUGGGGGUUGGAAAGUUUCGGCGGUUGGGGAUGGACUCGCGGCUUAUCCGCUUGUUGGUGGGGUAGUGGCUUACCAAGGCUUUGACGGGUAGCCGGCCUGAGAGGGUGACCGGGCACAUUGGGACUGAGAGACGGACCAGACGCGUACGUGAGGCAGCAGGGGGGAAUAUUGCACAAUGGGCGGAAGCCUGAUGCAGCAACGCCGCGUGCGGGAUGACGGCCUUCGGGUUGUAAACCGCUGUCGCCUGUGACGAAGCGGGAGUGACGGUAAUGGGUAAAGAAGCACCGGCUAACUACGUG